rnacentral:rRNA from 1 species
AUUGAACGCUGGCGGCAGGCCUAACACAUGCAAGUCGAACGGUAGCACAGAGAGCUUGCUCUCGGGUGACGAGUGGCGGACGGUUGAGUAAUGUCUGGGAAACUGCCCGAUGGAGGGGGAUAACUACUGGAAACGGUAGCUAAUACCGCAUAACGUCGCAAGACCAAAGUGGGGGACCUUCGGGCCUCACACCAUCGGAUGUGCCCAGAUGGGAUUAGCUAGUAGGUGGGGUAAUGGCUCACCUAGGCGACGAUCCCUCGCUGGUCUGAGAGGAUGACCAGCCACAGUGGAACUGAGACACGGUCCAGACUCCUACGGGAGGCAGCAGUGGGGAAUAUUGCGCAAUGGGCGCAAGCCUGAUACAGCCAUGCCGCGUGUAUGAAGAAGGCCUUCGGGUUGUAAAGUACUUUCAGCGGGGAGGAAGGCGGUGAAGUUAAUAACUUCACCGAUUGACGUUACCCGCAGAAGAAGCACCGGCUAACUCCGUGCCAGCCGCCGCCGUAA